rnacentral:lncRNA from 1 species
GGUGAGUGUUGCUGUGAAAAUGUCGAUGGACAGAGGUUUUCGUGAGGGCAGGGGACCACUCCGGAUUCUGGGGCGGCGAGGCGGGGCGGGAGGAGAGCGGAGGGAGCCGCAGGUGUCACGGCGGAGCCGCAGUGAGUUCACAGCUUAACGACUCCAAACAAAAUCAAAUGAAGAAGCGAGCUGAUUCCUCUUGCUCUGAACCUAACUCUGUCCUCCUCUCGCUGCUGUCCCGUCAACAUGGAAACAAAAGGAUCAUCUGAUCAAGGCAGGUACGAUCAGAUAAACUGUAACCCAAAUUCUUCAAAUAAACACAGCUAACAAACCCACUAUUUAUUAGAAGUUCUUUAGCAGACUUGUCACUACGAUCUGUUUUAAUCAGACGAUGUUUUGCUUUAUUUCCUUUAGGUCAGAGAAGAAGAAGAUUGCGGAGGGGGGGGUUAGUGCGUGGAAAUUGCAGUAAAACGCGGCAGCAGGAAGGAAAAGAUAAACAUGUUCUUUUUCGGGUCGAGGUGAGGUGACGUUGUGUAUGUCGGGCUGCUUAUAGAAGGAAAAAAAAAAAAAAGGCGACAUUAUGCAACUGAUGCUGGUGAUGUGCCUUUAAAAGCAGUGGGCUGUCAGGUGAUCGGGGAGGCAGCGCUGCCUCGCAGACAGAGGAGUCGGAGUGUGGUGUCUCUGCCCGAGAGCGGAGAGGAGAGCGCCGGGGGAGGAGAAGGAGGAGGAGACCCAAUUAUAAGCGC